rnacentral:rRNA from 1 species
CCUACGGGAGGCAGCAGUGGGGGAUAUUGCACAAUGGGGGAAACCCUGAUGCAGCGACGCCGCGUGUGGGAAGACGGUCCUCUGGAUUGUAAACCACUGUCCCCAGGGACGAAGAUGACGGUACCUUGGGAGGAAGCUCCGGCUAACUACGUGCCAGCAGCCGCGGUAAUACGUAGGGAGCGAGGGUUGUCGGGAAUUACUGGGUGUAAAGGGAGCGUAGGCGGGGAUGCACGUUGGGGGGAAAAACUACCGGCUCAACUGGGAGUCGCACUCAAAACUGCAGGUAUUGAGUGAAGUAGAGGCGGGCGGAAUUCCUGGUGUAGCGGUGAAAUGCGUAGAUAUUAGGAAGAACACCAGUGGCGAAGGCGGCCUGCUGGGCUUUUACUGACGCUGAGGCUCGAAAGUGUGGGGAGCAAACAGGAUUAGAUACCCUAGUAGUC